CUCGGUUUGUACAUAUUUUUUGGCAUAUGUGACUUUUAUGAGGUUUAUUAUUUUUGAUAUUGCUGUUAGAAAAAUGGAGAAAACGAACUCUGCAGGCAACAAAACCAUCUCCCUGCAAGAGAACGAAGCCGUGAGCCACCACUUUUUCUCCCCUUGAAAAGUCUCACCGAUACCCCAGAACCGUCCCUGAUGCAAUUACGCACCCCUCAAUCAACAACAGUGGAAGCGCAAAAUCGGAAGCGGCAUCGGAUUUGAACCAAACCGCAUCUUUAAACAAACAACGCUGCAAAUUGAAUCAUGUUUUUUUUGCUUUUAAUUUUUGUGGCUUGUAUGGAUUUCUGCAGGAGCACCGGUGCCAUGGCUAUGGUUGUUGAAUGUUGGUGAAAUUCAUUGCCAAGAGCGAUGGGUAAACGAAGAAGAAGAACAGUCCUCACGCGUAACUAUUUUUUUUAAUUUCCAUGUUACCUAUAUCAUUCAUUGUUUGCGUAUUAUUAACAGUUGAAGCACGCAGUUGAGUUGGUAAGGAAGAUGGCACAUGAACCUAGGGGCGCAGGUUCGAUCCUUUGCCCCAGCAUAUAUUUUAUUGAAUUAAUCCACUUGCAGAUCCCACGCAUGCCACCCAUGGGAGGUUCACCAUACACCCUCACAUCACAACCUCAGAUUUCCUCCGACUCAGAUCUGACGCACACAAGGAUAGGGACCCAUCAUGGGGCUUCAAGGACUCACAACACAGGAUCACAGCCCAGGUGUGUUUCCAAAUGAUAGAAAUGAUUUCUUUUGGAGAAAAGCUUAGAGCUAUGGUGAAAGAGUCUAUAUUUACCAAGGUACUCAAGUAUAUUUGUGGAAGCUUGUAGCUUCAUCCAGUUCAGUUGGUGUGUCGCUCUGAUACGUAGCACUCGGAGGAUGUUUAUUUUGUUGUUUCAUGUAGUUAAUAUAUAAGUUGUUGAGUUCUAAGUUGAAUAAU